rnacentral:lncRNA from 1 species
GCGCGUUUGUCUCCGGCUGACGGGGAGAGACAGGAGACAGCAGAGUGCAGCUCACCUCAGUUUACAGCGAGGACGCAUCAAAACAUCGACCUGGUAAUAAAAACCAGUCUGUCCUCUGGACAUCAGCUGGUGUCUUAAACCCGGACGCUUCUCACACACAUGCUUGAGGAUUAUUCUGAAAUCACUGUGUUGAGAAGAAAGAUGUUGGUGAGCAGGAGCUCAGAGUCCAUGAAGGAGAAACUCAUCAGACGAUUACGCUUUAUUUAUAUUUAGUGUAUUUUAUUCUUGGCUUAUUUAUUUCUCUUUAACGAUGUCACAACGUGUUUCUUCUGCACUCUGUCUUAAUGUUUAUAACUCUUGUUGUAAAGCACUUUGAAUAUAAAGCGUGUGUGUGUGUGUGUGUGUGUGUGUGUGUGUGUGUGUGUGUGUGUGAGGACGCAGCACGAGGAAGAAUCCACAGGACGGUGCGGACACGAGCAUUAUUUUUCACUUCCGUUAUAAUUGUGAGAAUCGCUGAAGUGUUUGAUCAUAUUACACAGAAACAUGCGGACAAGGGCAGAAGAGUGAAUAAAGUCUCACCUGGAUUCAUCGUCCCUGGCGAUCAGCAGAGACAUGUGAUUAGAGAGCGAGGCCGUCCUCAGGUUCUCCACCGCCCUAUCAGGACACAGGACGGUGACGUCACCAGCUGGUGUGCAGUGCAAACUACACCCACCGUCCAGAGCUGCCAGCCCACCGGCGAUCACUCGCUUGAUGUAGAUGCCAAACUCUUCUCCGGUCAGAUCUCUGUAACCUCCAAUUAUCUUCACACCUGAUCACACACCAGCUCAGCUCUACUCAGAGGUCAUAAAGGUCGGGGGGGGGGGGUGCUCACCGAGUCCCUUCUUGCAGUCGCAGAACUCCAGCCUCUGUACGCCUCGGUUGAUGCCAUGCGGGCCCAUGAUGGUCCUGCAACAAGCAAAGACACAGCAGAUUCAGAAACGUCCUCCUCCUCCCCGUCCUCCGCUCGGCUGCACAAAAUAAUCAAAUCAUCGCAGGAUUGUGUCAUUUCCUCCCUCCUCCAAUCCAAACCAAUGAAAUCUGUCGCCUCUUAAAAGGGGACCGCGGUU